rnacentral:lncRNA from 1 species
ACUGGAAGCAAUAGUUUGUUAGUGAACUGCUAGGGAUAAUAGUGAGAAGAUCCUGUCCUAUUUCCACCCCUUGAUCCCCGUACGCAUGAGUUCUGGCUAAGGAAGAAACAGAAAUAUAUGUUGGAUGCUGAUCUAGAGCAUACUUUGCAUCCUAAAAGACCAUACAUGAGUCUCCAAAAGGACAUUCCACCAUUCUAUCAAGCCAGCUGCUUCAGGGUGACGGGGAACACGAGAAGACUGAUGUCAACUUUUGUCUCGUAAUACACGAAUCUAUGAGUUUCUCUCAGAAAAUGGUUGUCUGCCAACGCUAACUGGCCAGCUCUGACAGGAGGUGCGUGGCCCAGGAGGAGCCAUCAGGCCAGUUCUCUGGGAUACUGCUGUGUCUCCAGCUCUGCAGUUUGCUCUGCAUCACUCAGCGGCAGACGGAGAGGCAGACACGAGCCCCUUGUGAGCCCUCCUCCUUACCGUCAUCCCACAAUGCUCUGAAAUAAGGAGGCAAAUGGCUGAGGUCCCCUCAGUUGUAGAUGUGAUUGAGUUCUAUCUACCAGAAGCAUAUGCCUCCUGGAAGCCUGGUUCUAACACCUCCCACAAAAUCCUUCAAGCGCUUUUUUCUGUUCCAAUGUUUGCUUAUGGGGGACCCAGUGAAGUGCUUCAGAGCCCUAGAGAUAUGCUGAGUCAUAUGAGGGGUCAGCAAACUUUUCCUGUAAAGGGUCAGAUAAUAAACAUUUUAAGCUUUGUAGACUGUCUAAA